GUAGGGGACGAGAGUUGUCCGGAUUUAUUGGGCGUAAAGCGCGCGUAGGCGGCCCGGAAAGUCGGUUGUGAAAACCCGGGGCUCAACCCCGGGCCUGCAUCCGAAACUUCCGGGCUGGAGGUAGGUAGGGGAGAUCGGAAUUCCUGGUGUAGCGGUGAAAUGCGCAGAUAUCAGGAGGAACACCGGUGGCGAAGGCGGAUCUCUGGGCCUUACCUGACGCUGAGGCGCGAAAGCUAGGGGAGCGAACAGGAUUAGAUACCCUGGUAGUCCUAGCCGUAAACGUUGGGUGCUAGGUGUGGGUGGACAUCGACCCCAUCCGUGCCGAAGCUAACGCAUUAAGCACCCCGCCUGGGGAGUACGGCCGCAAGGCUA
rnacentral:rRNA from 1 species